rnacentral:rRNA from 1 species
AUGAACGCUAGCGGCAGGCCUAAUACAUGCAAGUCGAACGGUGAUAGCAAUAUCAUAGUGGCGCACGGGUGCGUAACACGUAUGCAACCUACCUUAUACUGAGGGAUAGCCUUUCGAAAGGGAGAUUAAUACCUCAUAACACAUUGAACUGGCAUCAGUUUAUUGUUAAAGAUUUAUUGGUAUAAGAUGGGCAUGCGUCCAAUUAGUUAGUUGGCGAGGUAACGGCUCACCAAGACGAUGAUUGGUAGGGGAACUGAGAGGUUAAUCCCCCACACUGGCACUGAGAUACGGGCCAGACUCCUACGGGAGGCAGCAGUAGGGAAUAUUGGGCUAUGGAGGCAACUCUGACCCAGCCAUGCCGCGUGCAGGAAGAAGGCGUUAUGCGUUGUAAACUGCUUUUAUAUAGGAAGAAAUAGACCUUGCGAGGUAAGUUGACGGUACUAUAUGAAUAAGCACCGGCUAACUCCGUGCCAGCAGCCGCGGUAAUACGGAGGGUGCAAGCGUUGUCCGGAUUUAUUGGGUUUAAAGGGUGCGUAGGCGGUUUAUUAAGUCAGUGGUGAAAGACGGUCGCUCAACGAUUGCAGUGCCAUUGAUACUGGUAGACUUGAGUGGGAUUGAGGUAGCUGGAAUGGAUAGUGUAG